CAGAGUAUCAAUUGGAGGGCAAGUCUGGUGCCAGCAGCCGCGGUAAUUCCAGCUCCAAUAGCGUAUAUUAAAAUUGUUGCAGUUAAAAAGCUCGUAGUUGAAUUUCUGCUGCAUUGCUUGUGUCCCUCUGGGGUCUGUGCAUGUGGCUUUUUUCGGACGGAGUUUCUUUGUCUGAAUGUUUACUUUGAGAAAAUUAGAGUGCUCAAAGCAGGCUUUCGCCUUGAAUAGUUUAGCAUGGAAUAAUAAAGUAGGACUUUGGUUCUAUUUUGUUGGUUUUAGGUACCAAAGUAAUGGUUAAUAGGAACAGUUGGGGGCAUUCGUAUUUAACUGUCAGAGGUGAAAUUCUUAGAUUUGUUAAAGACGAACUACUGCGAAAGCAUUUGCCAAGGAUGUUUUCAUUAAUCAAGAACGAAAGUUAGGGGAUCGAAGACGAUCAGAUACCGUCGUAGUCCUAACCAUAAACUA
rnacentral:rRNA from 1 species